rnacentral:rRNA from 1 species
UACGUAGGGACCAAGCGUUGUUCGGAUUUACUGGGCGUAAAGGGCGCGUAGGCGGUGCGGUAAGUCACUUGUGAAAUCUCUGAGCUUAACUCAGAACGGCCAAGUGAUACUGCAGUGCUAGAGUGCGGAAGGGACAAUCGGAAUUCUUGGUGUAGCGGUGAAAUGCGUAGAUAUCAAGAGGAACACCUGAGGUGAAGACGGGUUGCUGGGCCGACACUGACGCUGGAGCGCGAAAGCCAGGGGAGCAAACGGG